rnacentral:rRNA from 1 species
ACGAACGCUGGCGGCGCGCUUCAGACAUGCAAGUCGAACGUGAAGCCCGGAGCUUGCUCCGGGUGGAAAGUGGCGAACGGGUGAGGAACACGUGAGGAACCUGCCCCGAAGACCGGGAUAACACCGGGAAACCGGUGCUAAUACCGGAUGCCCUCGUAGGGUCACAUGAUCCAACGAGGAAAUGGAUUCCGCUUCGGGAUGGCCUCGCGGCCUAUCAGCUUGUUGGUGGGGUAAUGGCCCACCAAGGCAACAACGGGUAGCUGGUCUGAGAGGAUGUCCAGCCACACUGGGACUGAGACACGGCCCAGACUCCUACGGGAGGCAGCAGUCGGGAAUAUUGCACAAUGGGCGAAAGCCUGAUGCAGCGACGCCGCGUGCGGGAUGAAUGCCUUCGGGUUGUAAACCGCUUUCAGCAGGGACGAAAUUGACGGUACCUGCAGAAGAAGGCCCGGCCAACUACGU